ACUAAGAACCAUGUUAUCUCAUUUCACGGACAAUUAGAUGCACUUUAUUGCAGUAAUCACAGACAAAAAAUUAAAGGCUGCCUAUAAAAUAUACAUUUGUGGCUUUUCUUUUUUAUUUUUUCCUUCUGACAAGCCUCUGCGUGGCUUAAAGUUUGCUUCUAAGUUGGAGAAACCGGCCAGCACACUUCACGUUGUCACCGUUGUGUUGUGGAACUCGGUAAUGGAUGGGGAUUUCACAAGUGAUUAAUGACUCGCAGGCAGGUCUGGCUGAAGGCUUUCAGAGAGGCGAUGUAAAUCACGCAGGGCAGCUGCGGGCUCUUCAGACAGCACCAGUCAGGCUCGUAGACACUGAUCUGCGUGCUGAAACUGAAUUUGUGUCCCCUGCCCUAACCCUGGCUGCGGGGACAGGCCUGGCAGCUGCUGUUCGCCGAGGAGCUGUGUCAGCCUGGCAGGAGCAGCCGUGCUGGAGAUGCCACUCGUGGUUCGGAGCCGGCGGUGAGCUCCUCGGGGAUGUGGGGCCGUGCCCAGCGGGGCCGUGCCACAGGAGGACUGCGAGGAGCCUGCAGUGAGUACCUUGGGCACGUCUCUGCUGGCUGUGGGAUCUCAGAGAGUGGCUCCAGCCCUCGCCGGGGUGUAUCAGCCUCUGGGCUUAGCCCUUCGGGAGGGAGCCUGCGUACGUGUGUGCUCCUAGGGUGGGAAUAAAGCAAGGCGCCGUGCUCUAAGUAGGCUGCGU
rnacentral:lncRNA from 1 species